UACGUAGGGGCAAGCGUUGUCCGGAUUUAUUGGGCGUAAAGAGCGUGUAGGCGGCCAUGCAGGUCCGUUGUGAAACUCGAGGCUCAACCUCGAGACGCCGAUGGAAACCGUCUGGCUAGAGUCCGGAAGAGGAGAGUGGAAUUCCUGGUGUAGCGGUGGAAAUGCGCAGAUAUCAAGGAGGAACACCAAUGGCGAAGGCAGGUCUCUGGGCCACACUGACGCUGAGGAGCGAAAGCGUGGGAGCGAACAGG
rnacentral:rRNA from 1 species